UUGCUUUGGCAGCACAUAUACUAAAAUUGGAACAAUACAGAGAAGAUUAGUAUGAUCAUAGUGCAAGGAUGACAUGCAAAUUUGUGAAGUAUUCCAUAAUUUU